rnacentral:rRNA from 1 species
CCUACGGGAGGCAGCAGUGGGGAAUAUUGCACAAUGGGGGAAACCCUUAUGCAGCGCCGCCGCGUGAGUGAAGAAGUAAUUCGUUAUGUAAAGCUCUAUCAGCAGGGAAGAAAAUGACGGUACCUGAGUAAGAAGCCCCGGCUAACUACGUGCCAGCAGCCGCGGUAAUACGUAGGGGGCAAGCGUUAUCCGGAUUUACUGGGUGUAAAGGGCGCGUAGACGGCAGUGCAAGUCUGGAGUGAAAGGCGGGGGCUCAACCCCCGGACUGCUCUGGAAACUGUACGGCUGGAGUGCAGGAGAGGUAAGUGGAAUUCCUAGUGUAGCGGUGAAAUGCGUAGAUAUUAGGAGGAACACCAGUGGCGAAGGCGGCUGACUGGACUGUAACUGACGUUGAGGCUCGAAAGCGUGGGGAGCAAACAGGAUUAGAUACCCUAGUAGUC